UUGCCUCUUGUUGAUUCCACAUUCCCUUCCUUUGGGAAGAUUUACAUUCUCUAUUUUAUAGUAAUCUGCCCAGUCCAUAUGGUUGGAUGAGACUGGCUGGCUUUAUCCUCUACCACCACUGCAGGGGGCAGGUGCAUUACCCAGCCUGGACCCUUAGAGCAAUCCCUCAGGCAGGACCCUGCAUCCAGAGUGGUCAAUCUUCCCUCAGAUGUUUGCUGAAUCUUUCAGGGAAUACUCUCUUUUUCUUCCUUCAGUCACUACCAUGAAGGACCUUGUCCACCCAGAACUUCCAGGGACCACAUUUCAGGCCUAAAGGCCCAAGAACCAGGAGCUCUGAUGUUGAAGGGCAGGGGAAGAUGGGCAUCCCAGCUCAAGAGGAGAGGCAGAAUUCAUCCUUCCUCCACCCUUUUGCUCCUUUGGGCCCUCCAUGGAUUGGGUGAUGCCUGUCUACAUUGGUAAGGGUGAUUUUCUUUACUCAAUCAAAUGAUUCAAAUGCAAAUCUUUUCCAGAAACACCCUCACAGACACGCCCAGAAAUAAAUUCUUAGCAGCAAUCUGGGCAUUUCCUAGCCCAAGUGUUACUGGAAAGGGGUCCCGAUCCAGACCCCAAGAAAGGGCUCUUGGAUCUCAUGCAAGAAAGAAUUCAAGGUGAAUCCAUAGAGUAAAGUAAAAGCAACCUUACUAAGAAAGUAAAGGCAUAAAGAAUGGCUAUCC
rnacentral:lncRNA from 10 species